rnacentral:rRNA from 1 species
UGGGGAAUUUUGGACAAUGGGGGAAACCCUGAUCCAGCCAUCCCGCGUGUGCGAUGAAGGCCUUCGGGUUGUAAAGCACUUUUGGCAGGAAAGAAACGUCGUGGGUUAAUACCCCGCGAAACUGACGGUACCUGCAGAAUAAGCACCGGCUAACUACGUGCCAGCAGCCGCGGUAAUACGUAGGGUGCAAGCGUUAAUCGGAAUUACUGGGCGUAAAGCGUGCGCAGGCGGUUCGGAAAGAAAGAUGUGAAAUCCCAGAGCUUAACUUUGGAACUGCAUUUUUAACUACCGGGCUAGAGUGUGUCAGAGGGAGGUGGAAUUCCGCGUGUAGCAGUGAAAUGCGUAGAUAUGCGGAGGAACACCGAUGGCGAAGGCAGCCUCCUGGGAUAACACUGACGCUCAUGCACGAAAGCGUGGGGAGCAAACAGGAUUAGAUACCCUGGUAGUCCACGCCCUAAACGAUGUCAACUAGCUGUUGGGGUCUUCGGACCUUGGUAGCGCAGCUAACGCGUGAAGUUGACCGCCUGGGGAGUACGGUCGCAAGAUUAAAACUUAAAGGAAUU